rnacentral:rRNA from 1 species
CUGCUUAAUUGCGUUUCAAAAUCUAAACCUGAGCGACAAGGUGCUGCUAUCGAAACUGUCUUUGAGUGUGAACUAUAAGUCUUUUGACUUAUGACCAUCACUCUAGACGUUUAUGUUUUGGUGUUGGCCCUUGAUGCUCAUUUGAACGCAACGGACGUGAUUGCAACCCCUUGUUGAGAUUUAUCCGAUCUCUACGUUCACUGAACCACACUCUUUAGCGAGAGCAGUGGGGAUGUGGAUAAACUCGGGGGACUGCUGACUAUAAACUUUUCUCAAACCAGAGGAAGGUUGCGGCAAUAACAGGUCUGUGAUGCA